GGGGUAGUGGCGUAAUGGUAACGCGUCUGGCUUCGAUUGCCGUUCUAGCGUUUCUUCACAAAAACGUGGUGCCCAAAUCUCUAACCAGAAGAUUGCAGGUUCGAGUCCUGUCUGCCUCA
rfam:Fomitiporia mediterranea MF3/22 unplaced genomic scaffold FOMMEscaffold_8, whole genome shotgun sequence.